AUACAAUUGUUCAGUAUUCAGUUCAAAGAGAAUUUAAUAUCAAGAUACAUAAAGUUUACUCGUACCAUAAAGCAAAACAACAAAACCUGCCGGAGUAUCAUCAUCUUAAAAAGGAAGAAUUCUAAAAUCGGAAAAAGUACACCAUGGUUCAUGGGCGCUGAACUUUCAACGGCGGUCACCUAUAACGAAGGAUGUUUGAACUUUCAGCUUCAGUAGCAUUCCGUCAUUUGUGCCGAGAGUAGCGAAGUGAUGAGUGGUACUACUAUGUGUGAAAUUAAAAACUUGGAGUAUUAGAAAAAUCAAAUACCUCAAAAACGAACUGAUUCGUAUUUCAAAUAACACUCAAGUCGAAAAAAAUGUGUGCUCGUACAUGG